AAAAAGGUAAGUUAAAUUAUAAAACUGUUUGAUUCAUGAUCAAAAAAUACACUAUGUGUCCUUUUUA
rnacentral:tRNA from 1 species